CUCUGACUUUGGCCAGUCUUGCUGGCCAGGGAGGUUAAUGUGUUUGACCAAGAAUAGCAUAUAUUAUUUGAGGACUUAAAAGGGCUCCAGAAGCUUACUGCCCAUAAAAAGAUGGAACAAAACAAGAUCUGACAUUCAGAGCAAUACCCUGAAGAUGUGCCUCUUCAUCACCUUCCCAGUCUCUGAGCUCAAGUUGGGGAUCCUUGUGCCACCCUGAAUCAGCACCGGCUUCCCUGGGCCACACCAGCUGAGCCAGUACAACUGCUCUGCCAGCAUUGGCAUUGGGACUGGAGAGGGCAUUUUGGGUCCGCUGGGCUCUGCACAGUGGUGGAGGCUGGCAUGGGAAGGACCUUGAGUGCUUGCUCUGCCAGGUGAGACGUGGAUAAAGGACACCCAGGUCUGCCACACUUCCUGCUCUUGGUGAUUGAAUGUGAAUAUUUAGCUGCCACAGUGGGUAGGAGGGUGUAAUUUUCUUAUUUUUAGAUGUUUAGAGACAGAACUGAUGAUAAGGCUUUGACAGAAAAUGACUGACAUGUGGAUUUUGAU
rnacentral:lncRNA from 1 species